rnacentral:rRNA from 1 species
UCCCAGACUCCUACGGGAGGCAGCAGUGAGGAAUAUUGGUCAAUGGGCGCGAGCCUGAACCAGCCAAGUCGCGUGAGGGAUGACGGCCCUACGGGUUGUAAACCUCUUUUGCCGGGGAGCAACGGGCGCCACGUGUGGCGUCACUGAGAGUACCCGGAGAAAAAGCAUCGGCUAACUACGUGCCAGCAGCCGCGGUAAUACGUAGGGAGCAAGCGUUAUCCGGAUUUAUUGGGUGUAAAGGGUGCGUAGACGGGAAGUCAAGUUAGUUGUGAAAUCCCUCGGCUUAACUGAGGAACUGCAACUAAAACUAACUUUCUUGAGUGCUGGAGAGGAAAGUGGAAUUCCUAGUGUAGCGGUGAAAUGCGUAGAUAUUAGGAGGAACACCAGUGGCGAAGGCGACUUUCUGGACAGUAACUGACGUUGAGGCACGAAAGUGUGGGGAGCAAACAGGAUUAGAUACCCUUGUACAA